UCUUCACUCAGAAUCACAUGUGCAGUUGAUCUAAGAUAACUUAGAUCUUAGAUCCCUGUCAAAAUGGAUUCAUUUCUGUUCUCUUUCCCAGAGGACCCUAACAGUAAUUCUUUCUGCUCUGAAGAUAUGCCAAGACCACAAGAAUUUGAAUGCCAUAGAACACCUGCAAACCAGGCAAGAAGGAAACAAAGAAGGCCCUGGCAGAUUGGAUGGCAUCUGUCUACGUUGAAGGUAGAUCUUCCCCACUCAGUCCACUGACUCACGUGCCGAUCUCUUCCGGAAACACCCUCAUAGGCAUACCCCAAAAGAGUGCCUUACCAGCUAUCUGGGUAUUCCUUAAUUCAGUCAAGUUGCCGGCUAAAAUUAACCAGCACACUAAUCUCAUCUGGAAACACACUCACAGACACACCUAGAAAUAAUAACCAACCAGAUAUCUGAGCACUUUGUGGCCCAAGCAAGUUGAUGGGUAAAAUUAACCAUCACAUUUAGGAACUUUGAAAAAGAAAUGUUGUGUCUGCUUUAGACUGAAUAGAUCAGAAUUCAUGGAUGUGGGCCAAAGCAUCAGUAUUCUUUUAAUUGAUUUAUUUAUUUGAAUUUUGUAGUGAUUAUAUUUGCAGCCUGUGGUCUUUGCAAGUGGAGGCGGGAUUAAAAAGAAAGCAUAAAGAUGAAAAAUAGGCAGAGCAUAUUCAAGAGAGCUGUCCAUGUAUUCAACUUCAAAUAGUACAGGAAAGAAUAUAACAGAAAAUAG